CCUACGGGAGGCAGCAGUGAGGAAUAUUGGUCAAUGGACGAGAGUCUGAACCAGCCAAGUAGCGUGAAGGAUGACGGCUCUAUGGGUUGUAAACUUCUUUUAUAUGGGAAUAAAACAGGGUAUGCAUAUCCGUUUGUAUGUACCAUAUGAAUAAGGAUCGGCUAACUCCGUGCCAGCAGCCGCGGUAAUACGGAGGAUCCGAGCGUUAUCCGGAUUUAUUGGGUUUAAAGGGUGCGUAGGUGGACUGUUAAGUCAGAUGUGAAAUUCCGCGGCUCAACCGUAAAAUUGCAGUUGAGACUGGUCGGCUUGAGAAUAGUAGAGGUGGGCGGAAUGCGUGGUGUAGCGGUGAAAUGCUUAGAUAUCACGCAGAACUCCGAUUGCGAAGGCAGCUCAC
rnacentral:rRNA from 1 species